AACGAACGCUGGCGGCGUGCUUAACACAUGCAAGUCGAACGCUCUUAGUCCUUCGGGGCGAAAGGGAGUGGCAGACGGGUGAGGAACACGUGGGAGCAUACCUUGUAGUGGGGGAUAACGAUUGGAAACGAUCGCUAAUACCGCAUAAGCCCUAAGGGGGAAAGGAGCAAUUCGCUAUAAGAGUGGCCCGCGUUAGAUUAGGUAGUUGGUGGGGUAAAGGCCUACCAAGCCUGUGAUCUAUAGCUGAUUUGAGAGGAUGAACAGCCACACUGGGACUGAGACACGGCCCAGACUCCUACGGGAGGCAGCAGUGGGGAAUAUUGGACAAUGGGGGAAACCCUGAUCCAGCAACGCCGCGUGAAUGAUGAAGGCCUUCGGGUUGUAAAGUUCUUUUACCUGAGAAGAUAAUGACGGUAUCAGGGGAAAAAGCACCGGCUAACUUCGUGCCAGCCGCCGCAGUAA
rnacentral:rRNA from 1 species